rnacentral:lncRNA from 1 species
CUUCGUUUCGGCUCUGCAGAGCUGGAAAACAGAGGGGGAUUGUCCAGGGGUGGGGCUUUGAAAAGUUAUAGACCAUCAACUAUUAGACUCUACAUCUGGAAAUAACCGGCGAAGAACAUCACUCAAUAAUGCUGCGAAGAACAUCAGUCAAUAAUACUGCUUCGUUCCGGCUCUGUCCUGUCUUCCAAACCUUGAACCCUGGAAGAAAGUAGUCAGCAUCAUUCCAACGUUUUAAUAAUGUCAAUGAGAAGGGACCUUGUACAUCUCCUUGGGGAUCUAAAUAAUGCCAC